GACGAACGCUGGCGGCGUGCUUAACACAUGCAAGUCGAACGGAAAGGCCCUGCUUUUGUGGUGUUCUCGAGUGGCGAACGGGUGAGUAACACGUGAGUAACCUGCCCUUGACUUUGGGAUAACUUCAGGAAACUGGGGCUAAUACCGUAUAGGAGCUCCUGCUGCAUUGUGGGGGUUGGAACGUCUCGGCGGUUGGGGAUGGACUCGCGGCUUAUCAGCUUGUUGGUGGGGUAGUGGCUUACCAAGGCUUUGACGGGUAGCCGGCCUGAGAGGGUGACCGGCCACAUUGGGACUGAGAUACGGCCCAGACUCCUACGGGAGGCAGCAGUGGGGAAUAUUGCACAAUGGGCGGAAGCCUGAUGCAGCAACGCCGCGUGCGGGAUGACGGCCUUCGGGUUGUAAACCGCUUUCGCCUGUGACGAAGCGUGAGUGACGGUAAUGGGUAAAGAAGCACCGGCUAACUACGUG
rnacentral:rRNA from 1 species